UGGUGGGUAGUUUGACUGGGGCGGUCUCCUCCUAAAGAGUAACGGAGGAGCACGAAGGUUGGCUAAUCCUGGUCGGACAUCAGGAGGUUAGUGCAAUGGCAUAAGCCAGCUUGACUGCGAGCGUGACGGCGCGAGCAGGUGCGAAAGCAGGUCAUAGUGAUCCGGUGGUUCUGAAUGGAAGGGCCAUCGCUCAACGGAUAAAAGGUACUCCGGGGAUAACAGGCUGAUACCGCCCAAGAGUUCAUAUCGACGGCGGUGUUUGGCACCUCGAUGUCGGCUCAUCACAUCCUGGGGCUGAAGUAGGUCCCAAGGGUAUGGCUGUUCGCCAUUUAAAGUGGUACGCGAGCUGGGUUUAGAACGUCGUGAGACAGUUCGGUCCCUAUCUGCCGUGGGCGCUGGAGAACUGAGGGGGGCUGCUCCUAGUACGAGAGGACCGGAGUGGACGCAUCACUGGUGUUCGGGUUGUCAUGCCAAUGGCACUGCCCGGUAGCUAAAUGCGGAAGAGAUAAGUGCUGAAAGCAUCUAAGCACGAAACUUGCCCCGAGAUGAGUUCUCCCUGAGACUUAGAGUCUCCUGAAGGAACGUUGAAGACGACGACGUUGAUAGGCCGGGUGUGUAAGCGCAGCGAUGCGUUGAGCUAACCGGUACUAAUGAACCGUGAGGCUUAACCUUACAACGCC
rnacentral:rRNA from 1 species